rnacentral:rRNA from 1 species
CCUACGGGAGGCAGCAGUGGGGAAUUUUCCGCAAUGGGCGAAAGCCUGACGGAGCAACGCCGCGUGGGUGAUGAAGUCUUUCGGGACGUAAAACCCUUUCAGCAGGGACGAACAAAAUGACGGUACCUGCAGAAGAAGCAUCGGCUAACUACGUGCCAGCAGCCGCGGUAAUACGUAGGAUGCGAGCGUUGUCCGGAUUUAUUGGGCGUAAAGCGAACGUAGGCGGUUUCUUAAGUUUGGUCUUAAAGACCGGGGCUCAACCCCGGGAAUGGACUGAAUACUGGGAGACUAGAGGAUGUUAGAGGAAAGUGGAAUUCCAAGUGUAGCGGUGAAAUGCGUAGAUAUUUGGAGGAACACCAGUGGCGAAAGCGGCUUUCUGGGACAUUUCUGACGCUGAGGUUCGAAAGCUCGGGGAGCAAACAGGAUUAGAUACCCUGGUAGUCCGAGCCGUAAACGAUGGACACUAGGUGUCGGGGGUAUCGACCCCCCGGUGCCGUAGCUAACGCGUUAAGUGUCCCGCCUGGGAGUCGGUCGCAAGCAGACACAANANAUGCGCGNGAGAGNGCGAGACGACAACGAGGGAGUUAG